GGGCCGGUAGAUCAGCCGGGAGAUCGCCCGCCUUGCACGCGGGAGGUCGCGGGUUCGAAUCCCGCCCGGUCCA
rnacentral:tRNA from 1 species